GUAUUUUUUUAAUCAGCAAAAUUAUGUAAGCUUUAUUGUUUCUUCAGAUGAGGAAAACAUGCUCAUCAAGAUUAACUUGGCAGGCAGUGGUAGAAGUGAGAUUCAAACCAAGAUGCUUGAUAUAAAAGGGGAUGUUGGAUCAGAGAUGUCCUAUGUUCUAUGUCGAAGGUGGUGGAACAAGGCUGAGAAAGAGACCUUUCUACCAUAGAGGAAGGAAAAAAUGGAUUUGGUCUUAGUGGCUCUGACAGCUGAAAGUAGAAAGAAAAAAAAGGCAAUCAGGAAGGAGUUCUGGACCAAUACUGGGGACUGCAGAUCCAUUCCUAGUUACUGGUUCCUAUUAUUGGUGGUAAAAUGGGCCACACAACUCAUCUGCAGGGGACCUCAGGAGGAUGUCACAGAUACAUUCGAGUAGGCAAGGUAAGUGGCCUUGCAGGCUUUGUGGGACACUGACAGGGAUUCAGUGGGCAUGGUAUUUAAGAGGGAUCGAAGAGCCUGUUGAGAGCAGGUGGACAGUGAUGUGGGGCCAUUGGAGAAGGAAUGUAGGGGAGAAACAUUUCAUGGGCUGGAGACUGGAAAUACGUUGGCAACAUAAUAUACAGAAUUCUAGUCCUGCUUUCGCAGAGAGCAACUACCUAAAAUCUACAUUGUUUUUUGGUUCUUUUUUUUUUUUUUCCGGAGCUGGGGACCGAACCCAGGGCCUUGUGCUUCCUAGGCAAGUGCUCUACCACUGAGCUAAAUCCCCAACCCCUAAAAUCUACAUUGUUAAUGUUAGCUCAGAACCUGUUGCUGGACUUUCACCUCUGAGCAUGUUUCCUCCACAAAUGCUGGGGGCGAGCAAGGUGCAAGUGCCUAUAAAACAAUGUGAGCGGAGCUGGCAGGGUCAGGAUGUGGCAGGAUUAGUUUAGCCAUAAAGAUCUAGCUACUUCAUCAAAGUAUCUUCACUAGACAGUUUUCACAUUACAAUAAACUAGGACCUUUCCAUCUCCAGGGCUCUAUAAAGAGGAGUCAUUUAAGUCCUUAGAAUCCCAAGGAGUACUCAAGAGAUGAAAAAUAUUUUAGGAUGCUUUUAAUCCAUUAAUUAUAGAUGGAAGGAGGCUUAAGACUGGCUCUGAAUCACAUGAUCUCAUAGUGGUUUGGGUUAGUUUCUGACAUUUGCAAACUUUUUCUUUUUUGAAGUAGGGUAACACAUAAGCUCAGGCUGGCCUUGAACUUAUAUAGCUGAAGAUAACCUUCAACUCCUGAUCCCUCUGCCUAUACCUCCUGAAUGCUGGGGUUACAAACACACAUCAUGUAUGGUUCAUGUGGUGAUGGGAGUCUGACCCAGUACUUCAAGUCUCAUGUCCGGAUUUACUUAUUUGUAAUGUCUGAGUGUGGGCAAUGGGUACACAGCUUACAGUGAAAACCAGAAGAGGAUACUGGUUCCCCUGAAGCUGGAAGCACUUGCUCUUAAAGGACCCAGGUUCAGUUCUGGGAAUCCACAUGGCUCACAAUUAACUUUUUUUUUUUUAAAAAAAAGUAUUUAUUAUGUAUACAUCAUACAGAUUUCUGCCUGCAUAUGUGCCUGCAGGCCAGAAGAUGACACCAGAUCUCAUUAUAGAUGGUUGUGAGACACCAUGUGGUUGCUGGGAAUUGAACUUAGUACCUCUGGAAGAGCAGUCAGUGCUCUUAACCGCUAAGCCAUCUCUCCAGCCCCAUAAUUAACUCUUAACCCAAGUUCUUGGGACUGACACUCUUUUACCAUCCAUGGGUACUGUACAAGAUACGUCCAAGUAAUUCAUAUAUACACUUUGCUUUUAAAAGACUAUGUCAUUAUGUAGCCAUCAUGUAGCCCAGGCUGGACUUGAAAUCAGCGACUCCCCUUGCCUUUGCCUUCUGAGUGUUGGAUUAAAAGUAUGUGCUACUAUGCCUGGCAUAAAAAUAAAUCUUUAAAAGAAGAUAAAGGGCUGGAGAGAUGGAGGUUACAGGAUCCUCUUGGGACUAUUAUGAUGCUGUCUCUCCAAGGCCAGUACCCAGCUUCUGACACGGGUGCUGGGGAUCCGAACCAGACCCACACUUGUACACUAAGUAGUGACUGAGCAGUUUCUCAAGCUUUGGUUGUUUCCUCAUGUGUAAAAUGGGCCAUGCCAUUCUUAGGAUAUUUGGGUCAACAUUGUAAUCAGGGAGUCCUUGGUACAGGUCAAAGCUUACAUUGAUGACCACUUAGCAAUUUAGCAAGGGCUUGGUAUCAUCGAGAGCAAAAGCAAGAAUCAAAGUUAGAAACUCCCUAAAAUAACCAGACAUAAAACUCAAGCCCAAGCCUGGACUUACACCCAGUAGGGGAACUAAACAGAUACAGUAAUGCCCAUGUUGAAGAACCAAGUCCUUUUCCAUGAAAUUCAUCCUCUACAAUGUCAAAAGAUGUAGAGGAAUGCAGCCUGACUGCCCCACUAUCAUUUGAGAAGGGUCCCCAGGCCAGUGAUCUCUGACCUGUAGGAUGAUCAAGAACAAGUUCAGUGUGGUUAACAUAGUCCACAGUCGCUUCUUGUAAAAGUCAAAACUUAAGUUGGGUGUGGCCAGUAUCUUCACCAGUACCUUAAAUUUAAGUAAAAGCUAUCUGACCCAACAAAAGCCAGCAACACUGAAGGUCUUUGAGACAGUGUUUCUCUGUAUAAAGAGCCCUGGCUGUCCUGGACUCAUUCUGUAGAUCAAGCUGGCCUUGACCAGAGAUCCACCCGACCCCAAUUCCAGAGUGCUGGCAUUAAAGAUGUGACACACAAGGCCAGCCUAGUGAUAGUGUUUUUAUAUCAUCGGACAAGGACCCAGGUGUGAUUCCAGGCACCCAACUAGUGACUCUCAAUUCUCUCCAGUCUGAGGGACUUGAUGCCGUAGUCUGGUCUCCACAGGCAUCCAGAAUGGACAUGGUGCUUAGAUACAUUCAGCUAUAACACCCCAGAUGUCUACUAGAACAGGGAGGCAGUAGUACAAGAAGCCAGUUUCAAAACCACUGUUUAUAAACUCUUCCUCUUCUUGUUGAGGGGAACCACCCCAGCAUUCUACUGCUGUAGUCUAUAUCAGAGCUCAGGGUGUAUGAGCACAGCAGCUGUUUCCUGCCUUGCCACAGUCUGCACCACAUCCCACACUUUAACGAUGGAGCAGAGUGGGACCUUAUUCAUCCUGCCCCGCCCAUAUCCCCACCAUGCCCCACCCGAGAGCUCAACAUAAAGGGUUGCCUGACACCCAGGUUUUGUGGUUUCCACUUUAUUGCUCAAGCACAGGACUUGAGGUGUGCCUGGACCUUCAGCGUGCAUUAAAGAGGCUGAGGGGAUGGGGACAGGGAUGACCUGGAUGAGGAAACUGAGAGGAGGGGAGGAAAGGGGAAGUACUGGUAGGAGCUGUCUAGAGGCGAUCACUGUGAUACCGGGGGAUGUUACCGGGAAUACCAUCUCAGGAGAGCAAGGCAAGAGAGGUAAUGGACACAACAGUGGUUUUCCCAUGCCCCUAGCACCUUCAUGGAGACCGCAGGCUUGGAAAACAACCACAGAGGGAAGGGAUGGGAAAAAUGGCUGCCCAGGAGUCUUCUCCACCCUGGCUUAUCAGACCCCA